rnacentral:rRNA from 1 species
GACGAACGCUGGCGGCGUGCUUAACACAUGCAAGUCGAACGAUGAAGCCGGAGCUUGCUCUGGUGAAUUAGUGGCGAACGGGUGAGUAACACGUGAGUAACCUGCCCUUGACUCUGGGAUAACUGCUAGAAAUGGUAGCUAAUACCGGAUACGACCCUCGGCGGCAUCGCCAGGGGGUGGCAAGAAUUUCGGUCAAGGAUGGACUCGCGGCCUAGCAGCUAGUUGGUGAGGUAACGGCUAACCAAGGCGACGACGGGUAGCCGGCCUGAGAGGGUGACCGGCCACACUGGGACUGAGACACGGCCCAGACUCCUACGGGAGGCAGCAGUGGGGAAUAUUGCACAAUGGGCGCAAGCCUGAUGCAGCAACGCCGCGUGAGGGAUGACGGCCUUCGGGUUGUAAACCUCUUUUAGCAGGGAAGAAGCGAAAGUGACGGUACCUGCAGAAAAAGCACCGGCUAACUACGUGCCAGCAGCCGCAGUAA